AUGCCUUAAACUUAUAAGUAAGGAAAAUAACGACUAAAUGAUGCCUGAGUCCUCACUGCUUAUGAGACAAAUUUUUGCUGGGCGUGGUGGCAUAUGCCUUUAAUCCCAGCACUCGGAAGGCAGAAGCAGGUAGAUCUCUGACUUCAAGACCAGCCUGGUCUACAAAGUGAGUCCAGGACAGCCAAGGCUACACAGAGAAACCCUGUCUCGAAAAACCAAAAAGAAAAAAAAAGAAAAGAGGCACAUUUUUGAGCAGGUAUAAGUUGUCCCCUAUGGUGACCUGCCUACUUUGCGUGAUGCCUGGGUGAGGUGGUCUACCCG